GUAACCUGGCUCUGAUACCA
rnacentral:miRNA from 1 species